UUUUCCGCAAUGGGCGAAAGCCUGACGGAGCAACGCCGCGUGCGAGAGAAAGCCCUGUGGGUUAUAAACCUCUUUUAUCAGGGAAGAUAAUGACGGUACCUGAGGAAUGAGCAUCGUCUAACUCCGUGCCAGCACUCGCGGUAAUACGGGGGAGGCAAGCGUUAUCCGGAAUUAUUGGGCGUAAAGAGUCCGUAGGCGGCUAAGCAAGUUUGCUGUAAAAGGUCGGGGCUUAACCCCGAAUGUGCAGUGGAAACUGUUUAGCUAGAGUUCGGUAGGGGUUGAGGGAAUUCCCAGUGUAGCGGUGAAAUGCGUAGAUAUUGGGAAGAACACCUGUGGCGAAGGCGCUCAACUGGGCCGUACCUGACGCUUAUGGACGAAAGCUACGGGGAGCGAAAGGGAUUAGAUACCCCUGUAGUCCUAGCCGUAAACGAUGGACACUAGAUGUUGCGCGUCAUCGACCCGUGCUGUGUCGUAGAAACGCGUUAAGUGUUCCGCCUGGCGAGUACGACGA
rnacentral:rRNA from 1 species